UGCGCGACUGCGCGAGUUGAAAGGGGAAAUCGGCGUGACAUCCAGUGAGCUAGUGACAACAGAGUUGGAUAGAAGAUGGAAGAAUUUAAAUUAAAAGUCGUCAAUUGGAGAGCAGGGCUUGGUCUUCCUCCACCAGAUGAUGAAACAUUGCGAAGUACGAGUGCUAAGGAGUGUGAUUCAUUCAAGGUUCUGAAGGAGUGUGCACGGAAUAUAGACUAAAAAAUAGUACACUUAGAGAGAGCGCUGCUUUGCCCUAACCUCUUUGGAGAUCCCCUGAAGGCUACAGCAUCAGAGGAAUUUGUAGACCAGUGCAUUGAGGAGGUUAUUGAUAUCAAGGAAAACCUCAAAAAAAUGAUUGAAGAAACAAAAAAUAGCCUAGAAGCUCAGAAAAAAUUCAAUGAAUGGUUGUCUGCAACAAAGAAUUCACUGAUCCAGCAAGUAGAGGAGAUAGAAAGCCACUUACAGAAAUAUGGCUAUAAACCUUCACAAAAGAACUCCAGAGAUUUACUACCUUAUGGAGAAGGAGAAGAAGAAUCCUGUGAUGGAAGCAAGAAAAUCACUGAUGAUAGUUGUAUAUCUCAUGAGGAUGAGGGAACGAAGGACUUUGAAGAACUGAAUCUAAGCUAUAAGGAUUC